ACGAACGCUGGCGGCGUGCCUAAUACAUGCAAGUUGAGCGCUGAAGGUUGGUACUUGUACCAACUGGAUGAGCAGCGAACGGGUGAGUAACGCGUGGGGAAUCUGCCUUUGAGCGGGGGACAACAUUUGGAAACGAAUGCUAAUACAGCAUAAAAACUUUAAACACAAGUUUUAAGUUUGAAAGAUGCAAUUGCAUCACUCAAAGAUGAUCCCGCGUUGUAUUAGCUAGUUGGUGAGGUAAAGGCUCACCAAGGCGAUGAUACAUAGCCGACCUGAGAGGGUGAUCGGCCACAUUGGGACUGAGACACGGCCCAAACUCCUACGGGAGGCAGCAGUAGGGAAUCUUCGGCAAUGGACGAAAGUCUGGCCGAGCAACGCCGCGUGAGUGAAGAAGGUUUUCGGAUCGUAAAACUCUGUUGGUAGAGAAGAACGUUGGUGAGAGUGGAAAGCUCAUCAAGUGACGGUAACUACCCAGAAAGGGACGGCUAACUACGUG
rnacentral:rRNA from 1 species